UUUACACUACAAGAAAACAGCUGAUUGCCGACUAUGCAUAACGACUAUAGAAGUAGUCGCUUAAUUUUGUGACUGUAUAGCCACUAUUUGGCGACUAUUAUACGACUAUUUGUGAUUAGUCGUUCAUGAGUCGCCAUUUAGCGACUAUAUAACCGAGUCGCUAUCUCAAUCGCCUUUUAGUCGGAAAUCAGUAGCUAUUUAAGUAACCUAAAUCUAUAUACAUAGAUACCAAAUUAAGAUUUUGAAACUUAUAUCCUAACCCUAAAUAUAGACCCUAACCCUUAAAUAAACCCCAAUAACUAAAUCAAACACUAGUUAUAAUUUUUUAAAACUUAAUAUCCCUAUAAUUAAAACUUAUAAUAUAUAACAUUAUCUAUAUAUAUACC
rnacentral:lncRNA from 1 species